AGGGAGGGAGGGAAGGCAAGGGGCAUCGAAGAUGAAGGGGAGGCUAAGGGUUUCAUUCUAUCCAUCCUUUCCUCCCCCCCCCCCCUUCUCCUGUCCUUUAUCUCCUGCUCCUUCAUUCUCCUCUUCAUCCCCCUCCGGUCUCUCAGUUUUGCUCAAAUUGCAGCAGUUGCAUUUGGCUGCUAAUUUGCCAAGUCAGCUCCUCUGGAACCUGGGCUGCAAGCGGGUCUUGCUCUCACUUGAGGGAACGGGCAGCUUGAGCAGGAGGCAGGAGAUUCAGCAGAGAAGGAGACGGUGACCCCAGUGGCCUGGCCCUGGGCUGUGAGGGGACUUGUCCCCAGUCUGCAGCCUCCCUUUUCCAGAACAGACUCCCUGGCUUUGAGGAGGGAGCCUGGUCUGGAAUGAGGCUUCAUUAGGACUUCUCUGAAAUAGAUUCUUUGAAAACAGCUGUUUUCCACCUUACCUGUUUUUCAGAAUAGGAGAUCUAUGGGUCCUUUGUGGGAGAGAGAUACCCCCGUUCUCCUGUUUCAGAAUGGAAAGAAAGGAAUCUGGACCCUUUAAGAGUACAGUAACCAAUUUUUUUCCUUAUAAGCUUUCAUUUCAUUUCAGACAAGUUACAUCCAAAGACAUCUGGUCUGAACGAAGGUUCGUAUCCUAAGGGUGCGUGCACACAGGGUUGCUGUGAGUUCUCUGAGCUGUAUGGCCAUGUUCCAGAAGUAUUCUCUCCAGACGUUUCACCCACAUCUAUGGCAGGCAUCCUCAGAGGUUGUGAGGUAUAUUGGCAACUAGGCAAGGGAGGUUUAUAUAUCUGUAGAAGGUUCAGAGUUGGAGAAAGAACUCUUGUCUGUUGGAGGCCAGUAUGAAUGUUGCAAUUAAUCACAUUGAUUAGCAUUGAAAAGCCUUGCAGCUUCAAGGCCUGGCUGAUUCCUGCCUGGGGGAAUCCUUUUUUGGGGGGGAGGUGUUAGCUGGCCCUGAUUUUUCAUGUCUGGAAUUCAUCUGGAAUCGCAACAUUCACACCUACCUCCAACAGACAAGAGCUUUCUCCCACCCUGGACCUUCCACAGAUAUAUAAACCCUCUUGCCUAGUUUUCAAUAUAUCUCACAACCUCUUAGGAUACCUGCCAUAUAUGUGGGUGAAACGUCAGGAAUGCUUCUGGAACAUGGCCAUACAGCCUAGAAAACUCACAACCCAGUGAUUCUGGCCAUGAAAGCUUUCAACAACACAUUGCAUCUACAGUACACAGUUUGAUUCAUGCAGUUUGAUCCCCACUUUAGCUGCCAUGACUCAAUGCUGUGGAACCAUGGUAGUUGUAGUUUAUGAUGUUUAGACUUCCCUUGCCAAAGACAGGUAGUGCCUCACCAAGUGGACUCAAGCUGCAUUCGUUCUAGUGUCCAUGCACCCAAAGAUGUCACAAGCCUCCUUCCUUGUGGUGAUUCAACAUUUAGCAUUUAAGAUAAUUUCUCCCACUCAACUAACUUUUAAAAGGAAACUUUGCUACAUCUUGCCUUUUUAAUUUCAAAAAAUAAACUACACAUGUUGUCAGGAACAGAGGCUUCUGAAGCAUUCCGUAAAUAGAGUUGAGAUAUAUACUCUUAUUCAUCUGCUGUGAAUAUCUGCUCUAUUUACAUUAGGGUUUGGUGACUUGCCCUAAUAGAUUGGUGUAGAUUCCAAAUCAACAAGAUAUACCAAGAGAAUACAUCUGUGUGAUGAGAAAUGCUCUAAACUAUCAAGUGGGUGAAUAUCUGGAAUUUCAUAGAAGACCUGUGACAAUCUCUCCUUCACGUUCUGCCCUGAGAUACUCUGUUCAGGAAGUCACAAUACAGUAUUCAUCUCUUAGUCCUUAAACGUAGUCCAGAAAGAAGAGACUGCUCUCAUUUACACCCACCAACCUACAUCACUGGGUCAUUAAUAAGUGCUCAGGUCUGAUUCCUUUAUAUAUACCAAGAAAUGCUUACUCUCUGAGUCAUAAGAUACUCCCUUCCUUGCACAGUCCUUCUCCCUCCAGAGGUAAAGAAUGAACUUGCCAAAUGUUUUUGUCAUUCUCCAUAAUGUCUUCUCCAAAUUAUCUAAGGUGACCCUUAUAAAUCAUUGAGACACCUUGGAGCUUCCACCAGACAGUUCUCAAGUGCUGUCAGUCUAAAGGUAUUGAUUGGCGAUUUCAUUAUGCUGCUAGGAUACCCCACUUUGAGUUAUUUUUUCCUAAAAAGGUAAAAAAAAAAAAGAUAGAUGCAGUGGUGGGAAAAUGUCAUGGGACCAAUUCCCAGGGCUGAAUUUGCAAGCCCUGGAUUUGGAGCCAUAACAUAAACAAUCCUGAAUGCCUCAUGAAAACACCUGGCAGCAGAGCAUGGGAACUCGGGGUCUAAAAUCUAAACAAUUAUAAUGAGUAGUUUGUGUGGGAAUAGUAGAAAUGUGAGACAGGGGGUGGGGUUUGGUGAUGAUAUUUACGUGUGGUGUUACGUUGCAACCAAGGUGAUAAAAUUGCUUGUAUGUAAACAUUAUGUCAUUCUCGACUUUUUCCAAGUCGUGUGUUCUUCAAUAAAGAUUGGUUUGAUAGCAGCUGUCUUUGAUCUGCGUUCAUGCUGGUCGUUUGAAGUGAGCGCGACAGGAAAACAUGGGAAGAUUAGAAACUGAAACUUGGCCUGCCUUGUCUGAAAACCAUUGUGUAAUUCUGUGGUGAGGUGGGCAAAUUACAAAAUAAAAGCCUUGUCUGGCACUGUGAUGUUAAGUAGGUCAGUCUAUGAAUGUAUAUUUCAUUUUUAUUGCAUUUCCAUCCUUUUUAAUACUCUGUUUUACAUAAAUCUCUUCCUUUUAAUUUGAACUAUGCUAAAUGUUAAGUUCUUGUCUUGUGACACACACUAUGUCUAACUAUUUGGCCAUCCUUUAGGUUAAUGAGAAAUAGCGGGGAAUAACAAAAUUGAAUCUGGAUUCUGACCAGUGGAUAGUUAAGCAUGAUUUCCUUAUUGCCAGGAAUUCCUAAAAUUUAAAUGCUUCGGAAUAUAUUGAAAUGAGGAUACUCUGGUGUAACUAACAUGUCAUGUGUCCUUCAUUUAUCCUUCCUAGAGGAAGGGUACUUUACUGUAGGAUUAGGAUACAUUGAAGUGAGGCUACUCUAAAGUAAGUAAUAUGCAAUGGUGAGGCUACUGUAGAGUAAGUAAUAUGUAAUGUGUCCUCCAGAUAGCCUUCCUAGAGGAAGGAUGCUUUGUCAUGUUGGACUGUAACAAGCAUUCUCCUCACCAUUGGCUAUGUUGGCUGAAGCAAUAAUAUAGGAUUACAGUAUCCUAGAGAGUGCCUUCAAAUUUGUGUGUUACUUGUCUGAAAUAAUGUCCACACAGUGUUGUGGGAUAUGUAAUCCCUUUCACUUGGGCUUAUUCUCACACACUGAACAACUGCGUUAAAAUAACUAUUGAAAGCUACUUUUAAAAUGUCUCCUAGGGUAGAAUAGGUUUCUUGGGACUUUUUUCUCAAGGAAACGUGGAAAGCAUCAGGCGAUGGAGCAAUCCGCAGUAUAAGCUACUCCAGAGUAGAUUCUUUGAGUUCAACUGAUUUACUUCCAGUUAAAUACACCUAGAAUUCCAUCCAGAGAUAUCAGGAAUUAUAGUGUUUGUGUUUUCACAAACUCUUUUGAGAAACUACCUAAGCACUAACAAAAAUAGCUUGGGUUUUAUUUUAUGUCUGUUUUAUCACAUCAACGUUAUACUGUGAUUUGUUAGCUCUGAUUUCUUAACACAUUUAUGUAAUGUUAAUUGUUGAGCUUUAUUUUAUUCUAAUCUGUAAUGCCUAUUAAAUUUGCUAAAUAGGUUAUUAUGCUGUCAUAAUCUGAUGAUGAUGAUGAUAAUAAAUAAAUAAAACUUUAUUUAUAUACUGCUCCAUCUCCUUGAGAGGACUCAGGGCAGUUUCCAACAUGAAUAUAAAAAACAUUCAAUUGUCAAAAACACCACACAGUGAAGUUCAACAUAAUCGACAUAAUAAACAACAUCAUAAGGCAAAACCAGAACAAUUCUAUUGAAAACAGACACAAAAUUACAAAUCCAAAUAAAUAUACUCCAUCAAGGAUUCAAUACCAAUAAAUAGAACUUCAGGGUAGACAUGGUCAAUUAUAAGGGAUAAGUAAACUUGUGCACCAGAAUAAUAAUAAUAAUAAUAAUAAUAAUAAUAAUAAUAAUAAUAAUAACUACUUAUAUCCUGCCACCAUCUACGCGAAGGGUCUUGGGGCGGCUUACAUAUGGCACAUAAGUGCCUAAAAACAGAGCAUAAAAUAAAACAAUAUAAAAUGCAAUUCAAUAAAACAAAUAAGCAUAUAAAGCAACAAUUUAAAAUUCAUUUAAAAUGGCACUCAUCUGGUGGUAAGCUACUGUAAACAUGGCCAGGCUGUAAACAAUGGGUAAGGGAAUGGAAUAAGUGCAAAGGUGGAGCCAUGGGACGAGGGCAUAGGGUGUAGUGCAAGAGUGCACAACACUUGCGCAGAACAACUAGGGACUAGGCAUUCUCAAAAGCUUCAAAGUCCGUACGAAAGGUGGACAGUGUGGGGUCUGGCCUAAUCUCCCUGGAGAGGGCAUUCCAAAACCAGGGGGCCACCAGCGAGAAGGCCCUUGUCCCCACCAGCUGUGCUUGUGACGGUGGCGGGACCGGGAGGAGGGCCUCCCUAGCAAAUCUUAGAGCCCACGCCAGUUCAUAGGGGGAAUGCGGCCACGAAGAUAGGCAGGAUCCAAACCGUUUAGAGCUUUGUAGGUAAUAACCUGCCCUUUGAAUCAGGACCAGAAACUUAUUGGCAACCAAUGGAGCUGCCUUAGGAGGGACAUCGUGUGCUCUUUAUAGUUAGCUCCAGUUAGUAGACUGGUAUAUUAAUGGUAUAUGCUGCUGGGAGAGAUUUGCCCUAUACUUUCUGAAAAGGUGAGUUAUGAGUGAUCACAUGUAGACAAAAAGUUCAUCUGCUGUUCUGAUGCUCAUCAAGAGAAGGAAGUUUCAAUAACUUUAAUGUCUUUGUAUUACUUUCUAGAUCUGAAUUAGUACAGUUUUCCCCCAACUGUAACAUGCUGUGGAAGCUCUUGAAGUAGGCUGAAAGAUGAUCUAUAAAUAUUGCAAAUAAAUAUUGAUGAGUUGAUAUCUUGUUUGAGAUUUGCUGCCUUUUUUGCCUAGACUCCAGUGACUUUAAAAACUUUGCUCAAUCAGAAAAACCUUUUAUUUUUUCAGGGACUGUUCUUGUACAAACAAAACAUCACCAGGUCUGAAAGCACAGUUUACCUUGUUUUUAGACAAUCCCGGAGAGGCUAAGAUCAGAAUCUUUCAGAUUCCAUCUGUCUGUUAAGAGCUUCCCCUACAGGCUCUUUCCCUUUCACCAUUCUGAGGGUAUCACCAAUAGCAGCUACAUUACAGAGUUCAUUGACAGGUUAAUUAGGUUAACUUGUCAGUCAAGGAUAGCUACUUUCCUUUGGCUGGAUGGAAUAACCUCAAAACUCCUUUCUCUAAGAAGCAAGCUUUCUGCGAAGUAGGAAAAACAAAAAUUAAAGUGUUGCGUAAGCUGGUUUAAAGCUUCUCUAAGAAGAGCCACUAGUUUGCUGGUUGCUGCUGGGAUCCUGCCUGCAGUGUUUAGAGAGAGAAAUCACAAUUCUUCCCAGGAGCUUUAAACAGCCUAUUCACUUCAUUGCACCAGAUGAAUUAAGAAAGCUUGCCAACUAGAAGGGAGGGAGAGCAUAUUUAUAGCAUCAGUAUCACAUUCAAGUUCUGUAUGCAUAAAAGACAGUUGAGAGCUGCCUGUGAAUGAAGAUGCAGAAUGCUGAAUUUCCCCAGUUAGAGACACAGGAAUUUUCAAGCCAAAUCUGCUUUAAAAGGGAAGCUUUCAGUAUUGUGGUUUUUUAAAUAAAAUAAAAAACAAGGCAUAUUUAAGGAUGUAGCCCUGUAAAUUCCCUGAAAAUUGGUACAGAUUGAUUAACUUUUGCUUAUAGCAGUAGACUGGAUUCAGCAUUUAAUGGCACCAACAGAAGCAUUAUCUGAACAAAGUUCUGUUUGACUGGAAAACUGCCAACAAUAAUAAAAGAAGAUUGUCUCUUCUGCCCCAUUUUCCUCCAUUGUCUUUCAGCCCACAGUGUUACCAGUCUUGUUUUUGAGAGGUCAGUGUUGGAUCACUUAGAACAUGAAGCACCUUUUCCCAUGGAUAAUAGUGGGGAAAAUAAAGAAAUGUGUGGAAAACACGUUUCCUCUUCUUUUUGUAUAAUUUUAGAUUGGUUUGGAAUAUUGAGUCCAAUCAGCCAUGCUUGGACUUGUGUUAAAGAUAUUAUUCAAAAGAACCUGAGCCGACUUAUUCUGUCCUGUAGAAUAUUUCCUUUUAAGUUGUAGCCAUGGCUUUUUUUUCCUAAUAAAUAAAAUGGAAAACCAGUCCACUAAGAAUAACUAGAAUUAUAAAUCAAGUUGUUUCCUGCACCAGUUUCAAUGCAUCUGUCUUGAAUGUGUUAAUUCCAUGAAAUACAUUUCUUCUUAAAGUACAAUUUCCUUUCAGUCAUAAAAUAUAGCUAUUAUAUACAAAUGCACUGUCCCUUCCUUGCCAAUGUUAUGUAAUGGCUAAAAGCAUGAAUGCAUUGCUGCAUUUUACCACCUGUAACACUCUGAAUGUUUUGUUUCUGCCACCUGAACUGGUAUUUUUUUUGGCUUCUCUUUUUUUUUUACUUCAGGGAACUUGUUUAUUCAUUGCCAAAAUUGUAAACAUACUCUCAAGUGGUUUGCUAUGUGCAUAGCCUAAAACAGUGCUGCUGUGACCAUGCUCUUUAAUCUUAUUUCUAGUACAAGAUGUUUUUCAUCUAAAGAGUGUGUUAAUCUGCAUAGGUAUUCUGAAAUGUCUUUUUUUUGUUUCUGUGAAUGUUACAGUUUAAGAAAAAAAGGAUAAAUCUGUGCAUGGAGUCAUUUCCUGCUACAGCUGUGGUGAUUAUAGGGGCAAUCUGAAAAAUGCUUUCUGCACAUGGUUUAUGGUAAUGGAAACCAGUUCAAUUUUUUACAGAUAUUGUGCAGAAAGACUUAAUAUGUAUUGCUAUAUCUGAAAAAGAAAAGCAAUAAUACUUGGACACACCUGAUCCCAAGGAUAUUUAUAAAGGCUAUAAGGUAUAUUACUUUCAGUACAUUUGAAUGAUUAAUGCUUUCUUCUUUAAGUGCAAAUGGAAUGGAGGGUAAAUUGUCAUUACUGCCUUCAGAGAUUUAUUGGAUUCCAUGAGGGGGUAGUUCCGUGGAGGCCCAUAAUGGGUGCAGAACUCCUGAGUGCAGCAGUGUUAGAAGCACUGGGAAGAAGUUAAUGCAUAUAUUGUUCUGUCUCUGCCCAUUACUACCUUCUUGACAGAUUUCGGCACCGAGGGUGGCCCUGGAAAGUGUUCCCUAGUUAAUUAUUGUGAUUGAUUCUAAAUAAACUUAUUAGUGGCAUUGUUAACCCAUGUUACUCCUUUUCACAUAGAUUCUAGAUAGUUCUCUCUUUGCCUUUCUUCUAAGAGUAUGCAAAAAGCCAGUGUAUGUAGAGUUCUGUGUUGUCACGAAUCAACACAAAUGAUUUAAGUAUGCAAGAGUGCUUAUUUCUUCAUUUUCCCAUUAUUAUUUUGGUAAAGUGAUGAAAGCAUUAAUGCUUAUAGGCAACAUCAUGGACUAAUUUAAAUCAAGAUCAUAACAAUUUCCCCAAAUCUGCAGUUUUAAGUCAACUUUCUCAGUUUGUAAUGCAGGCAUUUCUUCAGGAAAGCAUGCACCAAUUUAGCUCCUGUAAUGAAACAUCAUCAUAAGUCUGUGGUUCUCAACCUGUGGUUUCCAGAUGUUUUUAGCCUUCAGCUCCAAGAAAUCCUAACAGCUGGUAAGCUGGCUAGGAUUUCUGGGAGUAGUAGGCCAAAAGCAUCUGGGGACCCCAGAUUGAGAACCACUGUCAUAGGUGAUCACUUGUGGCUGAGUAUGAUAGUAUUCUAAAGAUAGAGUCUUGGCAGUGGAUACAUGAAUUACUGCGAAGACCUAUUCUAAAUCCACAUGGUAUUUCACAUUGAGAACAUCAAGGGAGCUUGUUUUAGUGGGUAGUGGAAAGCAUUUGACUCUUAAGCCAAAUACAACAACAACAACAACAACAAGGUUUCUUACCCACAUCUCCUCAUAUUUGAUUCAUUAUUGUGGAUAUAUUUCAUCAGUAUUUAAUCAAAAUACUGAUGAAAAGUGGUCACAAGGGUUUGCUUGAUGUACCUUCCUCUUGGCAUGUUUAUUCUUUUUGCCUUCUAUUUGUGCAUCUUCAAAAUCCAUGGCACUGUUGGUAACAGCUGAUCUUGAGUUACAAUGCUCGUGUGCCAGGGGUUUCCAGUUCAUGGUGUUUUUUCCACAUUUUUUUUAGAUUGGAUUUAAGUCCCUCUUUGAUCAUCUUUUGUUGACCACUGACAUUCUGUUUUCCAUUCUUGAGUUGAGAAUAAACUAACUUCUUUGGGAGAUUGGCCAUUUGGAUAACAUGGCCAGUCCAAUGAAGUUUAUGGUGGAGAAUUUUAGCUUUGAUCGAAUGGUCUUUGCUUCUUCCGGAACACUGACAUUUGUCCGCCUGUCAUCCCAGUAGAUUGUUAAAAACUAGUUGUCUUAUUGAGUAGCCCUUUUUGUAUCUGUGCAUGAGCACUGAGCCCGAUCGCCUGCUUGAUGUUAAAUAAAACUUGGAUUAAAUUGUGCAAAAAACCUUUGAGACCAAAGGAAUACUUAUUGGGAAAACCAGCAACCUUUACAACUUGGAAAAAUUAAGUCUUGUUUUGAUUAAAUACUGAUGAAAUAUAUCCACAAUAUUGAAUCAAAUAUGAGGAGAGGCGGGUAAGAAGCGUUGUUGUUGUUGUUGUUGUUGUUGUUGUUGUUGUUGUUGUUGUUUUUGCUUUAAGAGACAAAUGCUUUCCACUAUCCACUAAAACUACCUUCCUUGUUGGAUGUAUUUCUGUCUAGAAAAGCAUAUCAAUCGCCAGUUUUAACAUAUGGAUCCUUGCAAUAAAUUGUUGCCACAUGGAAUGCUUGUUCAGCAUUACAGCCAUAGCAUUCCACCCUCUGAUUCUCCUAUAUUUCCUCUUCAGUAAGAACCCAUCAUUUGUGCAGAUUGGUCAUGUUUAGUCCUAACAGUAGUUUUGGGGUUUCCUCCUCAUCUGGGAUAUUUUCUCCAUUUUUCCUUUGGUAGUGCUUUCUAAUCACACCAUUUUAGUCUCCUCUGUUUAUUCUUUUCCAAUAGUCUUGAUCAUGUUGAGAUAUAAAGCUAGUUGUGUGGGGAGGGAUUAUUCCUCUUUUGGGAUUUUCUCUCUGCUUUUUGGAGGGGGUACUGUGCCAAAUCCGAGCCAAUUGAAAUCUUUCAUUUCUGUAUUGAUGUAUAAAAGUAGUUUUCAUUUCCACCUCUGGAGACAUUGUUGAUAUUGUUUCUCAGACUGAAUCAGAAAAUGGGCCAGUCCAGACAAAGAGAUUGCUUAUUCUGCCCUCUUUAUAACUCUGUUUUGUUUUAACGCUUCCUUUCCAACCACUUUGUUGUAAUCACAGGUUGGCAUUUUUCUUUUUCCAGUAAAUCAGUAUCCCAUGCCACUGUGUUAAUACGGAACUGGUCAUUUUGUCUCUUUUUGUUUCUUCUUUAUUGAGCAUUUUCUUUUCCAGGAGUUAUUUUAAAUCUACUGACAUUGAAAUUAGUAUCUGGUGGCUUCAGUGUCUGGCCAGUGAAUCUGUACUAAGUUGUCCUACAGACUUCAAAGGAACUCCUCCUCAUUUAUGCAUAUAGUGACAACAUGGCACUUUACAAAUAAACAUGGAAGCCAACAGACUUACAGUCUAAUUAAGACACGACACAAAAAGAAAAGGGAUUGUAGGGAGUUAACUGUUAUUCAUGGCGCUGAACCCACUCACCCCCCUCAAAAGUUCAACAAAUUGGCAUUUGUAAUUUAGACUAAAAUAUGAAUCUGGCCCACUAGUUUACUAACAUGGAAGCCAACAGUCACCACUAGAUUUUUCUCUCUUACAGAAUUUUGGAUGUACCUUCAAAAGCAUAUGAGAACCUGAACUGGAAAUAAAGCAUAAUGGAUGAGUGUUUGUAUUAAAUUCAAUUGUCACUUAAAACCACUUCACAUAACAUUAAUCUGAAGAAAACAUAACAUCUUGAUUUUUCAUUUUCCUCCUUUUGUAAAAAAGUUAAUUCUCAAAUUGCUCCUGAUUAAAGCAUUUGUCUCCUUGGGAUUUUUGUGACAAAUUUAGUCUAAAAGUGCCAUUAGAAGGUCAGGGAUGAAGCUGAGUAAUUCUCUUGAUAUUUUACUAUUUUUAGGCAACUAAUUUCUAAUGCUUCUGUAAGUGUACUUAAGCUACUGUUUGUUUUGAAACUGUAUCAAAUGUUUUAAAUGCCUCACAUUGCCUUUGGAAAUAGAGAUUUUUGCUUACUCUUCGUAAUGUGAUAAGUGUUAUGUGAUUUGAUAGGAACCAUGAGAUAGGCUAUCACAGAGUGAGAAUUGUACUAAAGUGACUAUGUUAUGAAUUGCAGUAAACAUAUUUGUCAUUGUGAAUAUAAAUAUGAUUCUUUUCCAUUCACACACAUACACAUUAAAGUGCUGCUUUUCAGAACUGCCCAUUUUUUUACAACUCACAAGUAACUGUUACACAUUACAUUGUGUAAAAUACCUGCAUGAGAAUUUUUGCUAUAUGAACAAUAGGUUGAGCCAUUUAGGCUCAUACUCACAGUAGAAUAAAACCUGAAGCAGGAGAGAAUACUUCUUGAACAUGGCCACACAGCCCGAAAGACAUACAACAACCCAGAGUAUCAUUGAUUGAAAACAGAACUCUUUGUAAGUAUAAGCGUAAUAGCUUUGCAAUAUAUAUUAUUUAUGUUUAAUUACAUUGUGUUAAAUGCAUUUAGAGAACAACUUAUAAGCCACUGUAUGUUCCCUAUAGGUUCCACACUAUAUAUGAAAGAUUCCACAGAUAAUCGACCGCAUUCUUCAAUUGUUUGAACUAAAUAAUAAGAUCUAACAUACCUGGAGGGCUCCGGGCUGGAGAAUGCUGACUUAGGCUCAGUGAAAUAAGCUUGUUUAGAAGAGAUAUUUCCAUGGAGAUGCUGCGUAAAAACGUGCUUUAUUGCAGAUUCCUCCCCACAUUUAUUGACUCAUAACUGCUGUGAUGCCUAAAGGAGAGUCAGAAGGCCUAAUGUUGUUGGUUCUUUUCCAGUGGCAUUUGCUGUUCCUUUACUGCCAUACGUUAAAGAAUGUACUAUGUGAAUUGCUUAUUUUUUGCAUCUCUUUGACUAGUAUCUGAGAUUAAUGCCUGGUAAUUAAUAUUUGCCUGAAUAUAUUAAAAACAAAAAGGAAAAAUA